GACGAACGCUGGCGGCGUGCUUAACACAUGCAAGUCGAGCGGUAAGGCCCUUUUGGGGGUACACGAGCGGCGAACGGGUGAGUAACACGUGGGUGACCUGCCCUCAGCUCUGGGAUAAGCCUGGGAAACUGGGUCUAAUACUGGAUAUGACCUUUCCUCGCAUGGGGUUGGGUGGAAAGUUUUUCGGCUGGGGAUGGGCCCGCGGCCUAUCAGCUUGUUGGUGGGGUGAUGGCCUACCAAGGCGACGACGGGUAGCCGGCCUGAGAGGGCGACCGGCCACACUGGGACUGAGACACGGCCCAGACUCCUACGGGAGGCAGCAGUGGGGAAUAUUGCGCAAUGGGCGGAAGCCUGACGCAGCGACGCCGCGUGGGGGAUGAC
rnacentral:rRNA from 1 species